rnacentral:lncRNA from 1 species
UAGCUGUCACUCAGGCGAAUGCUGGAAUCUUCUUCACCAUGCAGGAGUAGUAGGUGAAGGAGCCUACACCCAGAGCUGCAGCGGAGCCUGGAUUUUGCAAAUGAUUUAUUGCAGCUUUGGUUCCGUGUUUCACAGAUCAGAAUGCGUCCAAAACCCGCUCCUGCCUGACUGCAAAAGGUGUAGGGAAAUUAAGUAACCUUGAUCAAAAUGAUCGCAGGUCCAGCUAUGGCUCAUGAGUGCUAGCAUUCGGAAAAGCCUUCUCCCUUUCAGGACUACAGACUAUCUUCUUCUCCCUCUGGGGCGUUUCUCACUUCCUGACCUAUUCUAUUCAAACUUUUUUGUCCACUUCUGAAUCAAGGAAUUAACCGUGGUGAACCUCCUUGCAUGGCUUUAUAAUCUCAACAAUAAUGGCUCCUGGCUGUGGGAUAAGGAAGUUUCCAGGGCUGAAGAGUGGCGAAUUCAAAGAGACACCUACCAGGGCGAGUGAGAUGCAGUGCCGGGUGCAGGGGAUGAAAUUCACAGAAGUUAGGCACAGCUUUCCUGUUGGAACCUCACCAAGAGACCUGGGAAGAAGAAAAUCUGCCUGUGUGCUCAGCAACCACCACCAGAAUGCCCAGCGCACGCGGGGAGCAGCGAGGCCUUCCUCCACUGCAGGCUGCAAGGUUCCAGAUUCCCAACGUGAGCACGGCAUGCUGAUGCUAUUGUUCAGACCUAAGUAUCUCCUGACAGAAGCCUUCUUUGUCGUCCUCAUGGAGGCAACCCCUUUCACUCUGCCAUGUGUUCCAAUUUGAAUUUCAAUUGCAAUCUCCAUGUUGCCAUGGAUCCUUACCUACUCCUUUGUAUUUUCAGGACCUAGAACUUUCUGGUCCCUUAUUUGGAGACUAGUAAACUGUUCUGUGGAAUGACUUAGCACCGUUCAAAG